CGCUGCUGUAGCUGCAGUAAUCAGGACAGCGUGUGUAGCUUCCCUUCCGCAGUGGCAAGCCGAAAAAGUAUACCUGCCGCCCGCCCUAGCUAUAAAUGUGUUCAUGCUGCUGACCUUUCUUUGGCCCCACACAGAGCUGCAGUGUAUUCAGCGCUGAGUCGCUGACAGCACAGUGAUGGAUGUAAGGAGGACGGCAGCCUUCACCUCCACGUUAGUAAAGAGAGAGAGGACUGGAGUGCUCUUUCCUGUGCCCAGUGACAAAAUAGAAAGAAGAUAGAUCUCCAUCACCCCCAAUGAACUCGGAUGUACCGUAGUCCAUUUACAAGGAAGACAAUUGUUCUGUUCCCUUCAUUACUAACAAAGAAUGAUCCUGAAUUCUAUGUAAAUAUUUUAUCCCACUCACUGAUGACAUACAAGUGAAUCCAGCAUUUUGUGAGGAACGCUCCCAUCUGCUCAGUUCGUCCCACCAGAACGUUCCAAAUCUGGCCCCCACAGAGGUGCCACCAAUUUCAUGUAAUAGUUCCAUGUACUUUGCACUCAGGUGCAUUAAGAGUCCCAUUACUCUGCCAAAGGUCUGUGAACUAAUCUUAAAAAAUAUAGAAUCCCUAGAAGGCAAAAUGGGGAGUAAAUGUAAGUCAUGGAAUGUAUUGUCAUAAAGAUUCAUUAAUGCUGAUUGUCUAUUUCAAUGUCAAUUGCUAGAAGAGGAGUUUAUAUUAUAUACAGUUAGACAGCGGAACUAUCUUUCAUUACAAAUAUUCUGACUUUCCAUCAGGUUUCCUGACUCUUGCAGGUUGUGUUUUGUGCUGGGAAAACAAAUUCUCACAAUCAGUUUUCAGGUCUGUUUUUACCAUAUAAAACAUUUUUCCCAUAUUUAAUCCUAAGGUAAAUACAAACGGAAGGUCAUUCAGAUCUAAUCGCUGGGCUGCUUUUUUUGCUGUGGGAGUGUAUUAUCUCCAUGCAAGUGUGCGAUGUUAUGUGUACGCUGAGAUGCUAAAGUUCUGUGUAUGCAGUCUCUGCGCAGCCCAGGACUUCCUCUUCCAGUGCGAUAGAAUCAGGCUGAUUGGGGCCGGAGCUGACGUCACAUACCCAUACGCUUGGGCACGCCUGCUUUUUCCCGAGCACUCCCAGUAAACGGUCAGUUACCACCCGUAAAUGGCUUCCUCCUGACAAUCACCUUGCGAACGACUGUGCAAACGUAUUUUUCGCACCAUCCCGUCACUGACCAGCGAUACCCGUUGUUGUUGUCCGCAUGCGCUUUUAUGAACAGAUCACCCGCUCUGCAAAAGGGCACAGCAGCGAUCAGAUCUGAAUGACCCCCACGGUGCAAUGUAACCUUACGAUUAUGACUAUAUAGUUAGUGCAAAUCGCACCGUGUGUACAACGCUUGCGAUACUGAUGCGCGUGCCCGUGGGGUCAGUAUCGCAAGAAAAGAUAGACUGUGCAGGCAAGUCAAUCUUGACUAUAUUUUGUACACUCUAGUACAUAGUACAGAUGGAGCCACCCGUCUGCGCGCCUAUCGCCUAGAGCGUGCCGGUCAACCCGGGUACGUGCACCUGCAAUGGAGACGUGCCCCAUUCACUUGAAUGGAGAGCGUCUCCAUCUGCGCACCCGGACAGUGAUGCUGUGAAUGGGAGCGUCUCUGUGCACUCCCGGCGUGACUAGGCGCACGGAUCGCCUAGUCAUGGUAGGAGUUCUCAUUUGCGAUGGAGCCGCCUCAGAUGAGCGCGGCUCCGUCUGUAUAGUCAAAAUUGGCACUUAGUCAAAAUCUCACAUAGUCAAAAUCUCAAGUAAAGAUAGUCAAUAUCGGUGGUUCAGGGCUCCGGGGAGUUAAUAUCUCACCGUGUGUAUGCACCUUAAGACUCCUGUCACCAAGUUCCAUAAAAAUAUAUAUAUAUUUUAAUGAUAUUUGUUAUUAUCAGAUUCUAAGCAUAGUCUUUAUGUGACUUACUUGUACAUCACAUUCAUCACUAUUUGUACUAGAUCAUUUAUUUCCAAAAUUCCUGUUACUAUUUGUAGUUUUUGAUUAGAAAUGAAACAUAAUAAAGUCUAUAAGUAAAGCGUA